AUCCAGUUGAAGAGUCCCAAGUAAGACGAAACGCUCGUCCUGAAU
rfam:Schistosoma mansoni, Puerto Rico, WGS project CABG01000000 data, contig: 0049